rnacentral:rRNA from 1 species
UACGGAGGAUCCAAGCGUUAUCCGGAAUUACUGGGCGUAAAGAGUUGCGUAGGUGGCAUAGUAAGUAGAUAGUGAAAGCGUGUGGCUCAACCAUACAUCCAUUAUCUAAACUGCUAAGCUAGAAGAUGAGAGAGGUUAUUGGAAUUCCCAGUGUAGGAGUGAAAUCCGUAGAUAUUGGGAGGAACACCGAUGGCGUAGGCAGAUAACUGGCUCAUUCUUGACACUAAGGCACGAAAGCGUGGGGAGCAAA